rnacentral:rRNA from 1 species
UACGAAGGGGGCUAGCGUUGCUCGGAAUCACUGGGCGUAAAGCGCACGUAGGCGGCUUCUUAAGUCAGGGGUGAAAUCCUGGAGCUCAACUCCAGAACUGCCUUUGAUACUGAGAAGCUUGAGUCCGGGAGAGGUGAGUGGAACUGCAAGUGUAGAGGUGAAAUUCGUAGAUAUUCGCAAGAACACCAGUGGCGAAGGCGGCUCACUGGCCCGGUUCUGACGCUGAGGCGCGAAAGCGUGGGGAGCAAACAGG